UACGGGGGGAGCAAGCGUUGUUCGGAUUUACUGGGCGUAAAGGGCGCGUAGGCGGUCGUGACAAGUCACUUGUGAAAUCUCCGGGCUUAACUCGGAACGGUCAAGUGAUACUGUCGGACUAGAGUACAGAAGGGGCAACUGGAAUUCCCGGUGUAGCGGUGAAAUGCGCAGAUAUCGGGAGGAACACCAGUGGCGAAGGCGGAACUCUGGGCCGGAACUGACGCUGAGGAGCGAAAGCCAGGGGAGCAAACGGG
rnacentral:rRNA from 1 species